CCCUUAGAUGUUCUGGGCCGCACGCGUGCUACACUGAUGCAUUCAACGAGUCUAAAACCUGGUCUGAUAGGGCUGGGUAAUCUUUUGAAAGUGCAUCGUGAUUGGGAUAGAUGAUUGCAAUUCUUCAUCUUCAACGAGGAAUGCCUAGUAAACGCAAGUCAUCAGCUUGCAUUGAUUACGUCCCUGCCCUUUGUACACACCGCCCGUCGCUCCUACCGAUUGAAUGAUCCGAUGAAUACCAUGGAUUGAGGGUACGAAUAGGUUCGCUUAUUUCUGCUGCUCGAGAAGUGGAGUAAAUCUUAUCAUUUAGAGGAAGGAGAAGUCGUAACA
rnacentral:rRNA from 1 species